UGUAAGGUAUAUUCACACAUGCACACACACACAUGCGCACGCACGCACGCAAACACACACACACACACUAACACAAUCUGUUAUUUGUGAAAGAUUAAAAUGUGUGUUUUGUAUUGUCUAUAGUUUGAUGUGUGUUUUGUCUUGUCUAUAGUUUGAUGUGUCUUGUCUUGUCUAUAGUUUUAUGUGUGUUUUGUCUCAUCUAUAUUUUGAGGUGUGUUUUGUCUUGUCUAUAGGUUGAUGUGUGUUUUGUCUUGUCUAUAGUUUGAUGUGUGUUUUGUCUUGUCUAUAGUUUGAUUUGGGUCUUGUCUUGUCUAUCGUUUUAUGCGUGUUUUGUCUUAUCUAUAGUUUGAUGUGUAUUUUGUCUUGUCUAUAGUUUGAUGUGUAUUUUGUCUUGUCUAUAGUUUGAUGUGUGUCUUGUCUUGUCUAUAGUUUGAUGUGUGUCUUGUCUUGUCUAUAGUUUGAUGUGUGUCUUGUCUGUAGAUUGAUGUGUGUCUUGUCUAUCGUUGGAUGUGUGUUUUGUUGUCUAUAGUUUGAUGUGUGUUUUGUCUUGUAUUUAAGUAGAAGUGUGUUUUGUCUUGUCUAUAGUUUGAUGUGUGUUUUGUCUUGUUUAUAGUUUGAUGUGUGUCUUGUUUAUAGUUUGAUUUGUAUAUUGUCUUGUCUAUAGUUUGGUGUGUGUGUGUGUGUCUUGUCUGUAGUUUUAUUUGUAUUUUGUCUACAGUUUGAUGUGUGUUUUGUCUUGUUUGUAGUUUGAUUUGUGUUUUGUCUCAUCUAUUGUUUGAUGUUUGUUUUUGUCUUGUCCAUAGUUUGUGUGUUUUGUCUUGCUUAUAGUAUGUUGUGUGUCUUGUUUUGUCUAUAGUUUGUGUUGUGUCUUUCUAUAGUUUGAUGUGUUUCUUGUCUCGUCUAUAGUUUGAUGUGUGUCUUGUCUAUAGUUUCAUGUGUGUUUUGUCUUGUCUAUAUUUUGAUGUGUGUCUUGUCCAUAGUUUCUGUGUUUUGUCUUGUCUAUAGUUUAUAUAUGUGUGUCUUGUCCUGUCUAUAGUUUGAUGUGUGUCUUGUCUAUCUUUGGAUAUGUGUUUUGUUUUGUCUCAUGUAUAUAGUUUGAUAUUUGUAUUGUCUUGUCUAUAGUUUGAUAUUUGUAUGGUCUUGUCUAUAGUUUUGAUGUGUUUUGUCUUGUAUAUAAUUAGAUGUGUGUCUUGUCCUGUCUGUUUUUUGAUGUGUUUUUUGUCUUGUCUAUCAUUGGAUGUGUUUUUGUUUAGUCUUGUCUGUAGUUUGAUGUUUGUCUUGUCUAUAGUUUGAUGUGUGCCUUGUCUUGUGUAUAAUUAGAUGUGUGUUUUGUCUAUUGUUGGAUGUGCUUUUGUCUUGUAUAUAGUUUGAUGUUUGUUUCGUCUUAUCUAUAGUUUGAUGUGUGUUUUGUCUUAUCUAUAGUUUGAUGUGUGUUUUGUCUUGUCUAUAGUUUGGUGUGUCUUGUCUUGUCUAUAGUGUGUCUUGUCUAUAGUAGUAUGUGUGUUUUGUCCUGUCUAUAGUGUGUCUUGUCUAUAGUGUUAUGUGUGUUUUGUCCUGUCUGUAAUUUGAUGUGUUUUGAUUUGUCUAUAGUUUGAUGUAUGUUUUGUCUUGUAUAUAGUUUGUGUGUCUUGUCUUGUCUAUAUUUUGAUAUGUGUCUUUUUGUUACGGCUUGGUAAUCGUGGAGGAGGAAUGAGGCGCAGGAAGCAGCGAACACAGGGUAGUGGUGUUUUUAAUAUACACUCACACAAAAAACAAAUGUUCCCACACACAGGGGAGAAAAUACAUACGGCAUCCAACAACGUCGACACGAACAUAAACCGUCUGACAAGAAACAAUCAUUAAUCCCGCACGAACAGGAGCGGGCCAGCUAAAGUAAAUAGCCCCUCUAAUGGCUAAUUGACCACAGGUGUCACAAAAUAAAAAAAGGGAAAAGCAAAAGGGAAUCGGUGGCAGC
rnacentral:lncRNA from 1 species